UCUUGGGCUUCAUCCACCGUAGAAAAGUAUUCCAAACUUUCCUUGUAUUGUAAGCAUCAUGUACAUGCUGUGCACUGUGAGAAUGAAAUUUCUUGAAACCCAGCAAUCUCAUUCUGAAUCUUGUGUAAGCUGUAACAGAUGUUGUUAAAGUCACAAGACCCAGAAGGAUGAGGAAGAACAGUACUUCCUGCGGUGAUUUCUGGAGAAAGCUGGAUUUCAGUUUUUGGAAUUUUUUCUCUGCCAGGACCUUGAACAGCAGAGGGAAUGGGAGAAAGGCUCUUGUCCCAUGGAAGAAGGAGAGCAUCCCCUAAUGAGUGUUUCCCGAGGCCGGCUCUGGAGCAAUAGAGUGGGCAUUUCCAGGUACCAGGAGGUCUGAUUCCAAGACAUAUGCUCUAAAAAGUGUGGAUCUACAGAGAUAAUUCUCAAAAAGAGGAAGUGAAUUUCAUUGUGAGUCUUUUUAUGAACAGCGAAACUCACAGAUUAACACAUUUCUUACAUGAAUUAACACUUUAAACCACUAAAUUUAGCAAGCCCGUUAAUUCUAUGUAUCCCUAAAGUAA